UUCCGUUUUUGCCCUUUAAUUGUUCUUUAAGUUUUGCUUUUUUGUGUUUAUUAUACAGUAAAAUGGCGUUUUUGUCCCUGCUGUGCGAUAGAAAUCUGUCGAUUUCUUCAGGAAGCUGAGCCCCUGAUAUCCACGCGUCCUCUACUUUUAUGAGAUGUUGACGCGUUUGCAUGGUUCCAGAAGUUCUCGAGCCUUCCUUUUUUGAUUUCGAUUUUGAUCUCUGCCUCACAAAAGCUCUUCGUGCUCUAAUGGCUCCCCGAUCUCCAGUUCUCUGUUUCUCUCUCUCUCUCUCUCUCUCUCUCCCUCCCUUUCUUGCUAAAAACCAUGAUUAGCAACCUGAAGCGAGAAACUCGGUUUUCUUUUUCUUCCUGCUCGACUUGAUUCGAACAAAAAAAUCUCUUGCACGAAAUCAAUUUUCUCCCCAUCACUGAUUUCGACUACAUGCACACCUAUCAAGCCCUAGAAUCCAACCGAACUCACCCCCUUCAAGCCUGUUUCUGCUCUUCCACUCGCUACCCAGAAAAUCAAGUUCUCAAGCGGAACCAAUGCGACCACUAGGGGCCACUGCCACGUGAAAUUAUGGGCUUCAAUCGUUUUCUAAAACCUUCUGUACUCAUGGUAAGUUAUUCUAGGUUUUAUUCCAUAUUCAGAUCAUCCCCAAUUUCGAAAGUUUAGGGAAUUGGUUUGUUUCCGUGUUGCAUGUUUAACAUUCUUCUGUGUGAUGCUGAGUUGAGGCUUUACGAACUGGAAUCGUUGAGGGUAGGCUUGAAUUUGGCCAAAUUUGGAACCCCAGGGCAUGCGACUUCUGGAACCGGUGAGAAAUUGCAGGUCCCCUGGGCUCGAUCCAUUUUGGAUUUGAGGGGUCUGAUUUGGAGGAAAAGAAAAGAAAUAAAGUUUGGGUUUUGGAUUGAUGUCGUGUUUAAUGUUAUUUAAUUUUUAUUCUUGCAUGUUUGAUUUAUUUUGAAUUUUUGCUUGUUUGAUUUUUUUUUUUUUUUGGUUUUUUGUUAAUUUGCACUGUUUGUUUUGUUCAUUGCAGGCUUACAAUGUUUGAUUAAUUUCUAUAGGGUGAGUUGUUAAUUUUUCCUCUAUUUAUUCAUGUUGUUUUAUAAAUGCUUAAAUGUUUUGUAUCUAAUCUUACUAACACUUUGAGUGUAUUUUUAACAAUGGUUGUCACUAUUUCUUCCUGUUAAUUUUUAAGUCUCUGUAUUUCAUUGCAAACUUUGGACAUCGGUCUGUUUUUUUGGUGGUUUAAUAUGUUUUGUGUUCUGUUUUUCAGGCAAUUAACUCAAUUCAUAUGAUUAAUUCCCAUGGUUUUCAUGCCAUAUUGGUUGAAUUUAUUAUAACUAUAUUUGAUUUUGUUGCAGCAAUAUCCUUAUAUAAACAACAAGUGGAAGGUUAACAGGACAUUAACCAAUCAGUUGAGAUAUUAGUUUGUUUACUUUCUGCUAUCCUUGGUUGGAGUGAGAAAAUGUUUAGGUACUUUAUAGUUUUAAAUUUGUAGUUAGGAAGAUUUAACAAUACGUCUUGAUAAAUGCAGGUUCAGCAACAUGUUGCUGAAACUAUCACUUAUAUAGCCUCCAUUGCAAAAUAGUAGUACUUUUGGUUUGCUUUCUAUGUCUCCUUCAUUAUUUCUAUUUUGUGGAUGUACAAAUAGAUGUCAACCCUAUCAUUUAAUGGUGUUGUUCACUUUGAUAGGUAUAUGUGAACGGCUUGCAGAUAUCAGACCCAGACAAAUGCGAUGAAGUGCCUUACGGCUUUUUCCUAAUCCGCCUUGGACAUUGGUAAAGAACAAAUGGUUGAUUUGCUGACGAGGCAUGAAUCACUAGAACUAAAGACACGAGCCUCAAGAGUGUUGUAAUAUAUUGUACAAACAUGUAUCUUUUGUUUUUUAUUGAUUAUAAUUAAAGAUGUAAAUAUGU